AACAAGACGGAAGAGAGUCACUCUUACCGUCGCGCAUACCAAAAGCGGGUCUGCCGCCUUCGUUUCUCUUUCUUCAGCGAAUGACUUUGACUUGCGCUCGCGCGCCGUACCGCACCCUUCGGGUGCUGGCGCUCCGCGAGGGCGCGGCACGAGCCGCGACGGCCGGUCGGCCUUGCGAGACGUGCGUCUCGUUGGCGAAAGCCGAUCAAAGGCGCAGUCUAAGGGCUUGUAGCUCAGUUGGUUAGAGCGCGCGCUUGAUAAGCGUGAGGUCGGAGGUUCAAGUCCUCCCAGGCCCACCAUCUCCUCGAUCACCAUGUUCGGGAAACACUAUCAGGGGCCGUAGCUCAGCUGGGAGAGCGCCUGCUUUGCAAGCAGGAUGUCGUCGGUUCGAUCCCGUCCGGCUCCACCAAUGACGCGCGAUCCGCAGGAUCGUCGCGGCGCGAUCGGUUAAGAUUGCUGCCUUGGUGUUGAGAGAGCGAGAAAAGUCAUUCGAAAAAGAGUUUGCGCCGAGCCUCUUGGCUCUGCGCCUGUUCUGUUUGACAUCGUAAAGAGAAGAUUUGUUCGAACUUCAUGGGUUCCGAAAGGGCCAUGAUUUGUCGCAAGGGACGCUCAAUCCCUUGCCUAUGAUGGGUUUGCCUAACCGCGCCCUCGAACCGAUCUCGAGAAGCUGGUCUUUUUGUG
rnacentral:tRNA from 1 species